rnacentral:rRNA from 1 species
UACGUAGGCAGCGAGCGUUGUUCGGAAUUACUGGGCGUAAAGAGUGUGUAGGCGGUGCUCCCAGUCUGUUGUGAAAUCUCCCGGCCUUAACUGGGAGGGUGCAGCGGAAACUAGAGUGCUAGAGGGUGGGAGAGGUAAGCGGAAUUCCUGGUGGUAGCGGUGAAAUGCGUAGAUAUCAGGAGGAACACCUGUGGUGUAGACAGCUUACUGGACCACUUCUGACGCUGAGACACGAAAGCGUGGGUAGCAAACAGG